rnacentral:rRNA from 2 species
UACGGAGGGGGCAAGCGUUACUCGGAAUUAUUGGGCGUAAAGGGCGCGUAGGCGGUCUCGCGCGUCGGAGGUGAAAUCCCCGGGCUCAACCCGGGACGUGCCUCCGGUACGGCGAGGCUUGAGUCCGGGAGAGGAGAGCGGAAUUCCCAGUGUAGCGGUGAAAUGCGUAGAUAUUGGGAGGAACACCAGUGGCGAAGGCGGCUCUCUGGACCGGUACUGACGCUGAGGCGCGAAAGCGUGGGGAGCAAACAGG